GGGGAAUUAGCUCAGUAGGCAGAGCGGCUGUUUUGCAAGCAGUAGGUCGUCGAUUCGAUUUCGACAUUCUCCACCA
rnacentral:tRNA from 1 species